AGCAGGCGCAAGUGUUUGACUUGGUGAUCUGUCAGCAGAAUGUGUCCGUCCAGCCUGUGCUCCUGCUUCAAUUGAUUGGCCAAUAACGGCAGCACUCAUGUGAUUGAUUGGUGAAAUGGCUAAUUGCGGGGCUGGCAGGCAAGACUGGAUGGGCAAUGACAGCAGCAGAGUGGAGCGGGACGAGGAGAGAAAUCUUGAAAACACAGAGGAUAAGUGCAACUGAUUGCAAAAAUGGCAGUGCUAGUGUGAGCUGACUCAUAACACAUUUGGCAUACCAUUUUAAUGUCAGCUGCAGAAGCAGAAAAUAUCCACUGCGGAAGUGAUCGUUUAAAGAUGCCUGUGGGAAUGGCUUCAGGGGAUGGUGAUAUGAGGCACCUAAUGAAGAACAUGACACCAGCCUGAGAUGCCUGGGGGGUGAGUACAGAAAAUUGCACUUCAAUGAUGAGCACCUUGCCUUAU
rnacentral:lncRNA from 1 species